rnacentral:rRNA from 1 species
UCUGGGACAAGCCCUGGAAACGGGGUCUAAUACCGGAUAACACUCCUUCCUGCAUGGGGAGGGGUUGAAAGCUCCGGCGGUGAAGGAUGAGCCCGCGGCCUAUCAGCUUGUUGGUGGGGUGAUGGCCUACCAAGGCGACGACGGGUAGCCGGCCUGAGAGGGCGACCGGCCACACUGGGACUGAGACACGGCCCAGACUCCUACGGGAGGCAGCAGUGGGGAAUAUUGCACAAUGGGCGAAAGCCUGAUGCAGCGACGCCGCGUGAGGGAUGACGGCCUUCGGGUUGUAAACCUCUUUCAGCAGGGAAGAAGCGAAAGUGACGGUACCUGCAGAAGAAGCGCCGGCUAACUACGUGCCAGCAGCCGCGGUAAUACGUAGGGCGCAAGCGUUGUCCGGAAUUAUUGGGCGUAAAGAGCUCGUAGGCGGCUUGUCACGUCGGAUGUGAAAGCCCGGGGCUUAACCCCGGGUCUGCAUUCGAUACGGGCUAGCUAGAGUGUGGUAGGGGAGAUCGGAAUUCCUGGUGUAGCGGUGAAAUGCGCAGAUAUCAGGAGGAACACCGGUGGCGAAGGCGGAUCUCUGGGCCAUUACUGACGCUGAGGAGCGAAAGCGUGGGGAGCGAACAGGAUUAGAUACCCUGGUAGUCCACGCCGUAAACGUUGGGAACUAGGUGUUGGCGACAUUCCACGUCGUCGGUGCCGCAGCUAACGCAUUAAGUUCCCCGCCUGG